rnacentral:misc_RNA from 1 species
UUUUUUUUUUUUUUUUUGCAAAACAUCUAAAGUUAUUUAGUCAAGAAAAAGGUGAAUCAUUCUUUCGUGUGUCUCAACAGGUACAUCCAGCAGUAAACAAAUAAACAUUAUCAGGAGAAGAAUCACCGCAUGCAUAGACAGCAACAAUCAUGUGAAGUACUUACUUAACAAAUAUUAAAUAGUUUACAAUUGAUUAUGAGUUUCUGAGUUAAAAAAAAAAAAGAGCAUUUUUCAGAAAAAGCAUCGUUUUAGAUAUGUGCAAAAAAACUGUUUGGAAAAAAUUAUUUUGUUAUUUUAAUAUUCUUAUGGCUAAAACAUGUCAAUUUUAAUUAUACUCUCUAAAUUUAAUUAUACUCUAUAACUAAUAUAUUUAAAAAAGUGUUUUCUUAACAGCAAUUGUAACAACAAUGCUAAAUAAGCUCUUAAUUAACUUAAAAUCCGAAGUAUUACCAUAUAACAUACUCUCCUUAUGAGCACUAGCCGAUGUAUUGAUUAAUCAUAAGUAAAUAAAUAAAGAACCAAAAAACGUGGCACUUCUGGUACAGUCCUAAAGAUACUGAUCUUACAACAUAGUCUUACCAUCUCCAAUUUAUCAAGAAACUCAGUCUCAUCUUCAUCCAAAGCUUUAGGAGGCCCUACAACAAAACCAGUGAUUAAAGCUUCAUUCUUAAAUCCCUUAAUCCAUUUUGCACCUCCCCCAUGCACACUUAAGAACACUAGAAUAUGAUAACUGGAACAACAUAGAGUGGACAAGGCAUGCAACCAAAUUCUCUAAUGAUAAGGA